UGGGGAAUAUUGCACAAUGGGCGAAAGCCUGAUGCAGCGACGCCGCGUGAGGGAUGACGGCCUUCGGGUUGUAAACCUCUUUCAGCAGGGAAGAAGCGAAAGUGACGGUACCUGCAGAAGAAGCGCCGGCUAACUACGUGCCAGCAGCCGCGGUAAUACGUAGGGCGCAAGCGUUGUCCGGAAUUAUUGGGCGUAAAGAGCUCGUAGGCGGUUAGUCGCGUCUGCUGUGAAAACUCGAGGCUCAACCUCGGGCUUGCAGUGGGUACGGGCUGACCAGAGUGCGGUAGGGGUGACUGGAAUUCCUGGUGUAGCGGUGGAAUGCGCAGAUAUCAGGAGGAACACCGAUGGCGAAGGCAGGUCACUGGGCCGCAACUGACGCUGAGGAGCGAAAGCAUGGGGAGCGAACAGGAUUAGAUACCCUGGUAGUCCAUGCCGUAAACGUUGGGCACUAGGUGUGGGGUCCAUUCCACGGAUUCCGUGCCGCAGCAAACGCAUUAAGUGCCCCGCCUGGGGAGUACGGCCGCAAGGCUAAAACUCAAAGGAAUUGACGGGGUC
rnacentral:rRNA from 1 species